rnacentral:rRNA from 1 species
UACGAACGGUCCAAACGUUAUUCGGAAUCACUGGGCUUAAAGCGUCCGUAGGCGGCUCGGAAAGUAGGGUGUGAAAUCCCACGGCUCAACCGUGGAAUUGCGCUCUAAACUAUCGAGCUAGAGGGAGAUAGAGGUGAGCGGAACUGAUGGCGGAGCGGUGAAAUGCGUUGAUAUCAUCAGGAACACCGGAGGCGAAGGCGGCUCACUGGGUCUUUUCUGACGCUGAGGGACGAAAGCUAGGGGAGCGAACGGG